rnacentral:rRNA from 1 species
GACGAACGCUGGCGGCGUGCUUAACACAUGCAAGUCGAACGGAAAGGCCCUGCUUUUGUGGGGUGCUCGAGUGGCGAACGGGUGAGUAACACGUGAGUAACCUGUCCUUGACUUUGGGAUAACUUCAGGAAACUGGGGCUAAUACCGGAUAGGAGCUCCUGCUGCAUGGUGGGGGUUGGAAAGUUUCGGCGGUUGGGGAUGGACUCGCGGCUUAUCAGCUUGUUGGUGGGGUAGUGGCUUACCAAGGCUUUGACGGGUAGCCGGCCUGAGAGGGUGACCGGCCACAUUGGGACUGAGAUACGGCCCAGACUCCUACGGGAGGCAGCAGUGGGGAAUAUUGCACAAUGGGCGGAAGCCUGAUGCAGCAACGCCGCGUGCGGGAUGACGGCCUUCGGGUUGUAAACCGCUUCCGCCUGUGACGAAGCGUGAGUGACGGUAAUGGGUAAAGAAGCACCGGCUAACUACGUGCCAGCAGCCGCGGUGAUACGUAGGGUGCGAGCGUUGUCCGGAUUUAUUGGGCGUAAAGGGCUCGUAGGUGGUUGAUCGCGUCGGAAGUGUAAUCUUGGGGCUUAACCCUGAGCGUGCUUUCGAUACGGGUUGACUUGAGGAAGGUAGGGGAGAAUGGAAUUCCUGGUGGAGCGGUGGAAUGCGCAGAUAUCAGGAGGAACACCAGUGGCGAAGGCGGUUCUCUGGGCCUUUCCUGACGCUGAGGAGCGAAAGCGUGGGGAGCGAACAGGCUUAGAUACCCUGGUAGUCCACGCUGUAAACGGUGGGUACUAGGUGUGGGGUCCAUUCCACGGGUUCCGUGCCGUAGCUAACGCUUUAAGUACCCCGCCUGGGGAGUACGGCCGCAAGGCUAAAACUCAAAGGAAUUGACGGGGCCCCGCACAAGCGGCGGAGCAUGCGGAUUAAUUCGAUGCAACGCGUAGAACCUUACCUGGGUUUGACAUGGAUCGGGAGCGCUCAGAGAUGGGUGUGCCUCUUUUGGGGUCGGUUCACAGGUGGUGCAUGGCUGUCGUCAGCUCGUGUCGUGAGAUGUUGGGUUAAGUCCCGCAACGAGCGCAACCCUUGUUCACUGUUGCCAGCACGUUAUGGUGGGGACUCAGUGGAGACCGCCGGGGUCAACUCGGAGGAAGGUGGGGAUGACGACAAGUCAUCAUGCCCCUUAUGUCCAGGGCUUCACGCAUGCUACAAUGGCUGGUACAGAGAGUGGCGAGCCUGUGAGGGUGAGCGAAUCUCGGAAAGCCGGUCUCAGUUCGGAUUGGGGUCUGCAACUCGACCUCAUGAAGUCGGAGUCGCUAGUAAUCGCAGAUCAGCAACGCUGCGGUGAAUACGUUCCCGGGGCU